rnacentral:lncRNA from 1 species
AAUCUUGAUGUUUAUAAUUUUGAAAGAUGAAUUUACAUGUGUGGAGAUAUAAAGCAUGAAUCUUGAACGAUAUUUAUCAUGAUUUUGAUAUUUGGGUUGUGAAUCCCCAUUGAAAAUUGUGUUUUUUUGAGAAAGUGUGUGUUAUAAGCACGUUGAUAUUGAAUAUUUGAGAUAUUUUGAAUGAUUUGACCUUUUGGUCUUAAUGGAGUUGUUUUGAACUCGAGUGUGAAA